UUCCGAUGUCUUGUUGUUAGAGUAGUUGUAAAAACAAGAUGCACUGAAUAAUCGUUUCAAAUGAUCUCAAGCUGACGAGAACAUAGCCGCAACCACAAGCAGGAACUCCCAGGUCUUCUGUGUCACACACUGUGUCCACA